UCCUGCCCUCUCCUCUGCUUCCUUCUCUGGCAGUAACCCAGCCCCUUCACUGCUGCAGGGACAUCUUUCCUUCCUCUGUUCUUCCAGCCCCAGGAGCAGACCAUCAGUUGGAUUUGAAUGCUUUGUUUGAGAGGUGAUUCCAGAGAGAAGGGAAUUAAGCCAACAGGAGGUGUUAAUAAUCAGCCUAUGGCUGUAAAAGUUAGUUCUCGGGCCCACUGAUAACCUCUGGAUUACAACCAUGGCUCAAAGCUGCCCCACCCAAAGGUUUUGGACUAGCUUCAUACAAGGAAUUGGGUCAAGAAGUCGGCUGAACCCUAAAGAAGAUAAACCAAAGAAAUCCACACCACAAUGAAACUUCUGAAAACUAAAGACAAAGAAAAAAUCUGGAAAGCAACCAGAAAAAAUGACCUUACCUUUCUACCUACAGAAGAAAAACAAUUUGUAUGACAGCAGAUUUUUCUUCAGAACAACCAUGCACGGAGGCCAAGCCGGAGGAGGUGCUACGGCAAGCGCUGGAUGAUCAAACCGUCUGAGAGCUGCUCGAAUGCACGUCUUCAUCUGGAACGGCUGAACCUGUGGUGACCAUACCGUGUGCACCCCACAUUGGUCACACGAUCUAACACAUGGGGGGGGGGGUACGCGACAGGGUACAUUACUUAAAAUCAGAACCGUUCUCCACAUUCUGGGACAUAUGGUUGUUCUGGCUACGGGGCACGUUUGCUUCAGAAAGGAGGAAAAAUUCUGAAAGGCAACCUAAGGAACACUCUCUGAAGGAUUAAAAAAAUAUAGAUGCAGCUGGUAAUUUAUAAAACUAUAGCCUGCUGGUACUGAACCUCCCCCAAGCAAGAACUGAUGCUCCCUCGUGCGAAUGUAGACGGCAUUUUAACUCCAAAGGACGAUGACUUUCACAUCUGUUGGCACCUCGUCAGUUGCAGUUUGAAGCCCUCCCUGCACCAAAUGUGCGUGCCUGCCAAUAUUAAUUAUCUCCAUAAUUCUCCUGAAACCUGUCAAAUAAAUGCUUUCCCCCGAAGAGCUGUUCUCCCUAAUAUCAUUAGCACCCCCAUUUCGUCUCCGCUUCUCUGCCGUCCCCACCAACCUCAGGGCUGAUUCGGAGUAACAAGCCCUUUGCAACUGGGCUCGUUAGAUCCUCUUUGAUCAUAAACACGGAGUAAUGCAAAGCAGAAAGGUCAUUUUCUGAGCCCCCAUGGGUGGGGGAAAAAAGUGAAAUAAAUAAUCCUUAAUGCUUUCUUUUUUAAAAAAGUGAUUCUGCAACAUUCCAAUCAAAAGGAAU